AGCAGCCGCGGUAAUUCCAGCUCCAAUAGCGUAUAUUAAAGUUGUUGCAGUUAAAAAGCUCGUAGUUGAAUUUCGGGGUUAGUGCGCUGGUCGUGCUUCGGUAUGUACUGGUGUUACUGAUUCCUACCUUCUGAAGAACCGUUAUGUCAUUAAUUUGGUGUGGCGGGGAAUCAGGACUGUUACUUUGAAAAAAUUAGAGUGUUUAAAGCAGGCUCGCGCUUGAAUACAUUAGCAUGGAAUAAUGAAAUAGGACGUUGAUCCUAUUUUGUCGGUUUCUAGGAUUGACGUAAUGAUUAAUAGGGAUAGUUGGGGGCAUUAGUAUUCAAUUGUCAGAGGUGAAAUUCUUGGAUUUAUUGAAGACUAACUACUGCGAAAGCAUUUGCCAAGGAUGUUUUCAUUAAUCAAGAACGAAAGUUAGGGAUCGAAGACGAUCAGAUACCGUCGUAGUCUUAACCAUAAACUAUGCCGACUAGGGAUCGGAUGAUGUUAUUUUUAAUGUACUUCAUUCGGCGCCUUACGG
rnacentral:rRNA from 1 species